rnacentral:misc_RNA from 1 species
UGAUAUUCGAGAAAGUGCAAUUCUGGAAGGUUACAGAUGCAAAUAUGAUAGAUGCAAUGGUUUCUUGCUUCGUGAUUCUGAUGACAAAGGCUUUGUGUGCCAACAGUGUGGCCUCCUUAGAAGCAAGGAAGAGGUGAAAAAGAUAGCAGCUGAAAUACGAGCAACUUCAGACAAGGCUUCCAGAAUUGCACUUUCUCGAAUAUCA